rnacentral:rRNA from 1 species
UACGUAGGGUCCAAGCGUUAAUCGGAAUUACUGGGCGUAAAGCGUGCGCAGGCGGUUUUGUAAGUCUGUCGUGAAAUCCCCGGGCUCAACCUGGGAAUUGCGAUGGAGACUGCAAGGCUAGAAUCUGGCAGAGGGGGGUAGAAUUCCACGUGUAGCAGUGAAAUGCGUAGAGAUGUGGAGGAACACCGAUGGCGAAGGCAGCCCCCUGGGUCAAGAUUGACGCUCAUGCACGAAAGCGUGGGGAGCAAGCAGG